UCCCCGUUUCUCUCCGUCUCUCCCGGUCUCUCCCCGUUCUUACGGAGAUCUUAGAUGACGAACAAACAUUUACAUUUUUAUUUAUAUAGAUUAUUAUUGUGACAAUUUUUUAUCUAUACAUAUUUACUGUAGAUAAAGAAAUCAUGGUUCAUAAUAAUUACUCCUAUCUCUAUAAAAACUAUAUAAAAUUAUUUUCAAAUAAAUUCAUAUAUAGAGCAAGAAAUUUUACUAAUAUUGCAUCAGCAUUGCAAUAUUUUAAUAAUAUUGUUAAAAAUACUGCAAAAUUGUUGCAACUUUGCUGGAACGUUUUGAGUUGUAAUGCUACGAUCAGACUAUGCACGAUUAGGGUUGCCAUAUUAAAAUUUGUUAAACUAGAACUUACAGGCCAAAAACCCCGGACAUUUCUGUUGCAACCCCGGACAUAUACGAGAAUACGUUAAUUACACAUAAUAAAUAUUAUAGAAGCCGCUCAAUAAGUGGUUGUGCCAUUGGAAAAAGCACGAAAAGCUGAUGAAGAGCAAUCAGUUUACGUAGUGGUGAACUUAAAAAUAAUAUAAAAAUAAUAUAAAUACUUUCACAACGGAAAUGUUAUAGCUAAUAUCGGUAACUACAAUAACAAUCAGUUAAGUCGUGUAAUGUAAUUUACAAAAAUUGUUUCGAGUAAAUGAUAACAAAAGUUAUAUCAUUUGUUCGAAUUAAUUAUAUUUUCGAAUCCAUAGAAUCGAUAGAAUUCGAUAGCACUCAGCCUGUUGCAAAAUGAGCUUUUUUUGAGCAUGAAACUUUAUGGACAAAAGCAAUUUAUUAAUAAAACAAAUUGUGCAUUACGGAAGCAAAUCACUUACCAAGAAGUAUCUUAAAAUGUUUUAAUCGAUCUAAUUGUCUACUCGGUUUUCAUUGUAGCAACCAGAGUAAGAAUCACAAAUCGUGAAUAGUAUAUCGCGACACAAAUGGAUUGAUCCGCGUCUUUUGUUAAAAAACUCAGCUAGCGAAUUAGUGUGAAUGACGAAUCAUGUAUGACGAAUUUUCCUUCCACAUUAUUCACGAACGUAAUAUAAAUCAUGAAUUACAAAUCACGAAUUGCGAAUAUGCGUAUAAUUGCAUUAGCGUAAAUCAAUGUAAUUAAAACUAAAAAAUUUGAAAAAAAUAAUAUUUGAAUUUUUUAAUAGUACAAUAUGUGAAUGCAAAUAUAUAAAUAAAUAAAAAAA